UUUUCCUGGGCCAUUAGCUCAGGUGGUUAGAGCGCACCCCUGAUAAGGGUGAGGUCCCUGGUUCAAGUCCAGGAUGGCCCAUAUCUCUAUGUUGGGGGUAUAGCUCAGUUGGUAGAGCGCCUGCUUUGCAAGCAGGAUGUCAGCGGUUCGAGUCCGCUUACCUCCACUGAAUACCACCACUUACAUAUAUUUAAAGAGGGAAAUUGUUAUGAGUCGUGUCCUAAUUUGCUCUGAGCGAAUCUAGCUUCCUAUUUUUAUUCAAUAAAUAAGAUGCUGGACUCAUUGAAUUUUUUUUCAUUGUUUUCAGAGAACCUUGACAACUGCAUAGAUUAUUUUGAAGACAAUAAGCAUCUUUAAUGAUGCAGAUUUAUUAUUUGUGCGAAUGCAUUAAAUAACAAUUCUAUUAAGCUGAUGCUUCAAUUAUUGAAGUUAUUGGUCAAGCUACAAAGGGCUCACGGAGAAUACCUAGGCACACAGAGGCGAUGAA
rnacentral:tRNA from 1 species